rnacentral:lncRNA from 1 species
GCAUUUACUAAUGGAAUUACUGGUUUGGAGACAUAACCAUAGAUAAUUUAUCUCUGAGGGUGCCUGCUUGGAAAAAUAACUCUUGACUGUGUGUAUGUUUAAUGUAAAGACCAUUAACGCUUUUAUCUCUAGGUUAUUUUAUUCAGAUAUUUCUCUGCACACAGAAGAGUCAUACAAGAAAGCCCCCUAGUACUGUACAAGAAAACUGGAAGAACAGGUCAGAAGGAAAAACGUUUCUUUCACAUAUUCCACAUUAAAUUAUAUUCUCUAAACACAUGUCAAUGUGUUAAAUUUAAUGGAAGAAUAGUAGUAGUUAGAUUUUGAGAACAGUGUCAUAAUAGUCAUAAAGCUGUCUAUUUCAGAUCUUCACAAAUUCUAAGACUUUCCUUGUUUUUGGCGACAAGCA